rnacentral:rRNA from 1 species
GACGAACGCUGGCGGCAGGCUUAACACAUGCAAGUCGAACGCCCCGCAAGGGGAGUGGCAGACGGGUGAGUAACACGUGGGAACGUACCCUUUGGUUCGGAAUAACUUGGGGAAACUCAAGCUAAUACCGGAUAAGCCCUUAUGGGGAAAGGUUUACUGUCGAAGGAUCGGCCCGCGUCGGAUUAGCUAGUUGGUGAGGUAAUGGCUCACCAAGGCGACGAUCAGUAGCUGGUCUGAGAGGAUGAUCAGCCACACUGGGACUGAGACACGGCCCCGACUCCUACGGGAGGCAGCAGUGGGGAAUAUUGGACAAUGGGGGCAACCCUGAUCCAGCCAUGCCGCGUGAGUGAUGAAGGCCUUAGGGUUGUAAAGCUCUUUUACCCGGGACGAUAAUGACUGUACCGGGAGAAUAAGCCCCGGCUAACUUCGUGCCAGCAGCCGCCGUAA